ACAUUCCGACAGGGGAGCGCCUGCGACGGCGCUGAGAGUGCGGCCCCCGAGGCCGCAGACCCUCCAACCUGAUCCGGGUCAUACCGGCGUAGGGAGUCAGCACAUGAAGUCC
rnacentral:ncRNA from 2 species